AUUGAACGCUGGCGGCAUGCCUUACACAUGCAAGUCGAACGGCAGCACGGGGGCAACCCUGGUGGCGAGUGGCGAACGGGUGAGUAAUACGUCGGAACGUGCCCUGUAGUGGGGGAUAACUAGUCGAAAGAUUAGCUAAUACCGCAUACGACCUGAGGGUGAAAGCGGGGGACCGCAAGGCCUCGCGCUACAGGAGCGGCCGAUGUCUGAUUAGCUAGUUGGUGGGGUAAAAGCCUACCAAGGCGACGAUCAGUAGCUGGUCUGAGAGGACGAUCAGCCACACUGGGACUGAGACACGGCCCAGACUCCUACGGGAGGCAGC
rnacentral:rRNA from 1 species